UCCCAACCUUGAAAUCAGUUUUUACUUAACUUACACAUGCAAGUCUCCGCACACCCGUGAAAACGCCCUUCCCACCCUACAGGAAUAAGGAGCUGAUAUCAGGCAUAUAUCCCCAAAACAUCUAGCCACGCCACACCCACAAGGGCCCUCAGCAGUGAUUAACAUUAAAAAUAAACGUCAGUUUGACUUAGUCAAAUGAAAACAGAGCCGGCCAAUCUGGUGCCAGCCGCCGCGGUUACACCAUGUGGCUCAAAUUGAUCUCAACACGGCGUAAAGCGUGAUUAAAGAAACAUACCUCUGGGGGUCAAACUAAAACUAAGCUGUAGUACGCCUGUUUUUAAGAAGUCCUAUUUCGAAAGAUACCCCAAUUCACCAACUUGAACUCACAACAACUAGAAUACAAACUGGGAUUAGAUACCCCACUAUGCCUAGUCAUAAACUUUAACUUACACCUCAAUCGCCAGGGAACUACGAGCAAAGCUUAAAACCCAAAGGACUUGACGGUACCCCAUAUCCCCCUAGAGGAGCCUGUCCUAUAACCGAUACCCCCCGUUCAACCUCACCAUUUUUAGUUUCCCAGCCUGUAUACUUCCGUCGCCAGCUUACCGUGUGAACGAAUUCAGUAAGCCCAAUGUAAAUCACCAAAACGUCA
rnacentral:rRNA from 1 species